CUGCAUAUGUCCUGGUUCCCUUAAUGAGAAAAAUAAUAAACAAAUAAAAUUAUCUUGUUUUGCAUGACUUUGGCCAAGUUAGCAUCUUAAUUGCUUCUGUUACAAGAUGAAUAAUCUUAAAUGGGACUUACAGUUGAGUUGGCCGCUGACAUUUAACAAGUGUCUAAACUGAAGAUCCCAUCUUUAACCAAGUGUUGGAAUGGCAAUGUCAUACUGCCACUGUACGCAAUUUAAAGGACUACCCCAUAAGAAAGUUGUGUGGGUGGUCUACCCACCAGACCACAAAACCGUCUCCCAUUUUUUUUUUUAAUCUCUUCCUUGUAAAAAGUUUGGAUGGUUCUGAGUAAUAGACAUUAUCGUGUAUAGCCUCUACAUUCUGGUAGCCACGUAAUGAUGGGUGUUAAAGCUCCUUGAGGGAUUAAAGGGAUCUGUAAUCAGUGACUUCCAAUUUACAGCCUUUACUACUUUUGUUAAAGACUAACCAUUCUAUCAUGUUUAGUGAAUUGUCUCUGGAAACUACAGGAACAUUGAAACAACUUUAUCAACCAAGAAGACUUUAUUUUCAUGUACAUGCAUGGGAGAAAUAUAGUGAGGAUACCAGUCGGUUGGUGGAUUGCCCAGGAUCUAAAUACUCCACCUUUUGUUGGGGGUUCUCUGGCAGGCCUUGAUAAUGCAUUCUCAUGGCACGCUUUGGGAUCCUAAAAUGGAAUGAAACAUAGUGCCAACAGAGAUGGUUCAGUAGACAACAAAACAUAGUGCCAUUAGAGAUGGUUCAAUAGACUACCAGCCCACAUCUCCAAAUUACAUCUCACGAAGCCUAGAUGUUAUUGAUAUUUUUCUUGCAGCACUUGCAGCAGGCAUAGAGUUGAUUCUUAGCAUUGAAAUAGUGAAAGCAGUUAUAGCUUCCAAGACUCUUACUAGUGCAGUUGGAGCAACCUAUAAGUAUGACAUUAAUUGCCACUAGCUCUACAGUCUUUAGGUUGUCAGACUUUGGUGUUCAAGGAAUUGAUGCCAAGUACAUCUUCUGUCCGAGAAAUUGAUGAUGCUGACAAGCUUAUAGAAGCAAUUAUGGCAAAGAAUGAUGGAAAGGCUGAGAUUGUUGGAGGGGAUACAUUGGUCUAGAUGUUAGUGCUAUAAUGAAUAUUAACAAUUUUAAUGUUACUAUGUGCCUAGGCUCUUCACUGCAGCUAUGAGGGUUGUUAUACAAAGAAAGGUGUCUAAAUUAUUAAGGGAACGGUUCCAGUUGGGUUUUUACAAAUAUAAAUGGGGAGGUGAAGGCUGUGAAACUGAAGGAUGGGAGCGUACUGGAUGCUAACAUUGUUGUUGGUGCCGUUGAGGGAAGACCCCUUACCAUAUUGAUCAAAGGACCGGUUGGGGAAGAGAAAGGGAAUUUCUUCAGUGCCAUCCACUGCCAUAUCUCAACCACCAUAACCAUAAUUAACAUGCUUAACCACCCAAUUUCCAAGGAUUGCAGUUGGUGAUUGCCGUUACUGAAUUCUUUUCUAUUCUUAACAAGAGGUAAGUUAAAAUUGUUUGUCUUUAAAUAAAAGCACUGUCUAAAUGACAUCUCUAUAGGUUUAUUUAGAAGUUGACACUUUGUUUUUAAUUUCCAAAAUGUUCUUUAAUUAGGGGUAUAAAAGAGGUUACAAAAAUAAUUUGAAAGUGUAUCAAACUGCUUAGGGUUCUUUAUCACUUCGAUACUACUUUAAUGAUUAUGGAAAAACAAAAAAAUGUGCUUCAAAUGCAACCAAUUGAAGCUUAUCUUUGAUGAUGGUGACUAAUUUGUGGAUCUCACCAUAAAAAGGGGUCCCAAUCCAAUGGAACCGAGGAAAUGCUUCUUGCUGAGCUUGAAUGUACAGGAUCAGUUGAGUGUGAAUUUGAAAUUUCACUACUUCCAGUAGCUGGAGAAGAUCUUGAUGAUUUUUUUCGUCAAAAGAUUAGGUUAUGCUGUUCAAACCCAUAGGUUUAUUGUGUUGAGCAACCUUCGAUGGAGAAAUAAAGAAAGAGACUAUAAGAAGACAUAGGGGCUGUUCUAGGAAUAUGAACAGACCUAUAAACAAUAUCUGUUAUUAUGGUUAGAUUUCCGUUUCCUUUGAAGACCCUAAACUUUAACCCUAAACCCUAAACCCUAAACCCUAAACUAAGAUGCUGCCAUAAAUCUCGUUUUUCAAGUACAUUGGGUAUGGGUUGCAGUUCAAUCUAAUGAACACCUUGUGUUUACUUGAUGCUGAGUUUUGGUUGUACCAAAAAACCGUUGGUACCCUUUGGUUACGUGAUUUGAUUGGUCUUCUUAGACGGCUUGGUCAUGUUACGCUUCUCAUACUGGUUUCUGACUCUUGACAGGUACCUAUUUUCUUCUCUAUCUGUCCCCCCCUUCCUUUCAGAUUCCUAUGUUGCUUUCCACUCUUACUCCUUUGCUUUCUUUACUUCUUGCUUAUGACAUAUUGUGAAGAAUCUGGUAAUUCCAAAAGAAAUGAGGGACAAAUUUGAAUCCUCCACUAUAUGAUCUUGAGCAAUUGAAACUACAAAAGAGCAAACUAGCAGAGGGGAUUUAUGAAGAAUUUUUUAAUAGCUUGCUACCGAGAUCUCACCUAAAGAGUUUAUCUAUGUCAAUGGAGUGAAUGGACUUCACUAUGGGGAUUGCGCAGCAAGCAUAGAGUUGAUCAUUAGCACUAAAAUAAUGAAAGCAGUUAUAGCUUCCAAGACUCUUACUAGUGCAUCUGGAGCAACCUAUAGGUCUUUAGGUUAUUGACUUUCGUGUUCAAGGAACUAAUGCCAAGAACAUCUUUUAUGUGAGAGAAAUUGAUGAUGCUGACAAGCUUAUAGAAGCAAUUAUGGCAAAGAAGGAUGGAAAGGCUGAGGUUGUUGGAAGGGGAUACAUUGGUCUAGAUCUUACUGCUGUAAAGAACAUAUACAAUGUUACUAUGGUGUAUCCUGAACCAUAGUGCAUGCCUCGGCUCUUCAUUGUAGCUAUGAGGGUUAUUAUACCAAGAAAGGUGACAAAUUUAUUAUAGGAAUAGUUCUAGUUGGGUUUUUACCAAUGUAAAUGGGGAGGUGAAGGCUAUGAAACUGAAGGAUGGGAGGGGGUACUGGAUGCUGACAUUGUUGUUGGUGGCGUUGGGGGAAGAUCCCUUACCACAUUGUUCAAAGGACCGGUUGAGGAAGAGAAAGGUGGAAUUAUGAUUUGUGUGGCUCCCAUAUCCUUUUAAACUUGGUCUUUAUCCACCACUAUGCCAACUCCACUUCUACCACUUUGGUCUCCCACAUUCCAAAAGAAAUGAGGGACAAAUUUGAAUCCUCCACUAUGUGAUCUCGAGCAAUUGAAACUGAGAGAGAGACAACCAGCAACGGGGAUUUAUGAAGAAUUUCUGAAUAGCUUGCUACUGAGAUCUCGCCUAAAGAGUUUAUCUAUUUCAAUGGAGUGAAUGGACUUCACUAUGGGGUUUGCGCAGAUAACGCCUUGUAGGUACUGGAACGUUUCAAGGCAGUUGUAGAGAGAGAAGCGAUAGCAAAGCGGCUACGAGGUGCAUCCAAGAAUUAAGUAUGGAAGGGAGGAGUUUUUAUAUGUCAAAAGAUGCUCAGAAUGCAAGAAGAAUGAAACUAUCGAGGGUCGUAAUCAAAUGGGAGCCUCUUUCUUGGUGUUCCUAGAAUCCUCUAACCAUCUGUUUUAUUUAUUUCACAGGUAUGGUAUUCCCGGCUUGCAAGUAUAUCCUCUGCAGCUGAGGAUGACCUUUGCGUGCGGUUGGACAGGACAUCAGACUUGGAAAAUAAAUUUUAACCAAAAACCAUACUUGGUAUGCUCUUUUAGAUUAUAUCCCUUUUGAUGAUUUAGGUCGAGUGAAAUUAAAAUGAUAGCUUCCAAUGGCUUGUUAUGGAAAUUCCAAUUGUGGGAAGAAUCCAAAUAAUGUUUUUUUUUUCUCUUUUAAAUUUAAAUAAUUUGACUGCCGAA